rnacentral:lncRNA from 1 species
CCCCACAGCUCGAGCAGCUCCAUUCUCCCUCCUGCAUCAAGAGAGAGGCUGGCAGCAAAAACUCAUCUCAUCUUCCUCUGAACCCCUUUGAAGGGAGUGGAAAUGAAUGAUAAAGUGGCAGUCGGCAGAAUAAAAAUUCAGCCUUAAAGGAGAACACGUGGCAAAAUCACAUCCAGCAUCAGCAACAAACACACACAAGGAGACUGACUGCCUGACCUUUUGGGGAGGUGUUUCAUGGUGUACCUGGCUUCCUGCAAUGGAACAACAACCUUCUCUGGGCCCCGUGCAGAUCACUGAAGGGUGGAGGGAGAACCUCCCCCUGCCCAUCUGUGUGAACUUGGCUAUUCUACACAGUAGCAGGAGCUGGGGUUCCCUGGAAGGUUGAAGCAAUGAGAAAAUACAUACCUAGAUCCCACGUAUAUACUAAAAGGAGAAUUUUGGAUUGCAGGCAAUGGAGAUGAUUUGUUUAAAACCUGCAGUUCUCUUAAAACAAUUUUUCAAUCAGUCCCUUAAAAAUUCAGGAGUUUUCAAUGAUUGUGUGGGAUGAACACAAAGAACAGCAUCUUGUUAAAGUCAGAUUUUGGUUGACA